rnacentral:rRNA from 1 species
AUGGGUGGCGCAAGCGUGGCCGUGAGCUUGGUCUCAGGCAAGGGAGGCAGCCUCGUCUUCUCUCCCCCGUCGGUCUCAGGCGUGGCCGCUGCCCUGCCCGUCGCUGGCCAUGGCUCCACCGCCCGUCGCCGGCCGUGGUUACUGAAGAAGGUCUGGCGCCAUGGACAGCCUUGUCUUCGACCGGAGACUUGCCAGGUUCUCCUCCAGCGGACGGCUUCCAUGGAUGAGCUGGACGCUCGCUAUCGCGGUCACGUGCUGCUCCCGACGGCUGUGACGCCCUUCCGCUUUUGGCGGCCAUGGAGAUAA